UGGUUGAUUCCUGUGUGUGCCCGGACCAGGGAUCAAACCUGCAACCUUGGGGUAUUGGGGCAUGGCUCUAACCAACUGAGCCACCAGCCAGGGCCAGCUUGACUUUAUUUUCUCACUUGUAAGCCAUUUCAGAGACUAACAGUAAGACCUGCUGCCAAUACCGGUAUAAAAUGUAUACUAGUGGUAUAAAAUGUAUCCCAAUGUGUCAGAAGUGUUACAUGUGGGAAAAACAGGGGGCUCAGAGUCCAGGAAAUACGGCCUCCCUCCGGGCUGAGAGGCAGGGCUGGGAGGUGGUGCAGAGGCUGAGAGAUCUGGGCCAGAGACAGUCAGCUGCCUCUCUUUGUUUGGAGGAGAAGGGCAGGGCCAGGAGCAAGGCGGAAAGAAACUGCCUGGAGGUCAUUUGCCUGACUGCCCGAGAGCAAAGAGACAGGGUUGGAAAGCAGCCUGAAUAAUGGGAACUGGGCAGAGGAAACCACCCACAGCUAAUCUGAGCGGACAGACAGAGGACGGAACUCGAAGAAGAAGUAAGUGGGUCACAGGGCAGAUGCAAGAGAUGGUCAGGACAGGGACCUGGAUGAGAGAGCAGCCUGGUUCCAGAGCUGGGGUUCCAGCUGGGGUUCCGCAAUGGCAAGCCAGAGGAGCAGGACGUGCUGACCGUGCCAGCCAGGGAGGGAUGUGAUCCACCUGCUCUUUUCAGGGUGAGGGCAAAGCAGGUUUACAGACGUUCCUAAGAAGGUGACACAAUUCUAUCGCAGCACAAGGCUUGGACUGCCACCUGUUGUCUCUACAUGUUGGUCCACACAAUUCAGGCGGAGAUGCGCACAGGUUAAGAGGAAUCCACGCCAGCCCACGCUGAGACCCCUGGGUACGCGCGGAGGGGCGGGCGGGAUAAGGCUGGGAGCACAUGAAGAGAAGAGGUGAGGGAGCAAGAAUUCUCUCCCACCCUCCACCCUGUGCCUCGGCCUGACCAUCGAAUAAUGGGACAAGCCUCCACCUCACUGACCCUGAGAGAUCACAGGCCACAAAGAUAAAGGGGCCUGGGGUGGCCCAGAUGGGUUACCAGGAGCAACACCGCAAACAAAGCCACCACGUGGGCUCUGCUAACACCCCUGAUGGCACCCCAUUGGGAGAGUGGAGGAAUCAAACAUCUUCAAAAGCAAGGUUUCCUUCUUUCCCCAUCAGGUUGUAAACUAAGCCCCUCUGGUCCAGGGGAAGGAACAGGCAGGAUGCAGCCCGGACCACUGCUCCGAGGCCCCAGCUGGGUAAGGCGCGGUGAGAAGGUCACACCUUCACUCAGGUUCACGGAGGGAGGGAGGAGCGGGGGAGGGAGUCAGGCAGGGAAGGAGGAGGCAGUGAGAGGCGUAAAUGGGAACGUGAAGGCCAGCUCUCCCCCUCAGCCCUCCGCUGGCGGCGUGAACCCAGUGAACUGAGCACUGCCCGCCAGGCUCAGGGGGCUGUAUGCCGUCCUGUGCACCUGGGGCUGCGAGUUUGAUCCCAGUCAGAGCACAGACCCAGGUCGUUGAGUUAGCACGCUGGUCAGGGCGCAUACGAGGGACAUUUCUCUCUCACAUCAAUGUGGAUCUCUCUCUCUCUCUCUCCCCUUCUCUCUCCCAAGUCAUCACAUGAGGCUUAAAAAGAAACUA